AUUGAACGCUAGCGGGAUGCCUUACACAUGCAAGUCGAACGGCAGCACGGACUUCGGUCUGGUGGCGAGUGGCGAACGGGUGAGUAAUGUAUCGGAACGUGCCCAGUAGCGGGGGAUAACUACUCGAAAGAGUAGCUAAUACCGCAUACGCCCUACGGGGGAAAGGGGGGGAUGGCAAGACCUCUCACUAUUGGAGCGGCCGAAACGGGAUUAGCUAGUUGGUGGGGUAAAGGCCCACCAAGGCGACGAUCCGUAGCUGGUUUGAGCUGAAGACAGGCCACACUGGGACUGAGACACGGUCCAGAUUCCUACUGUAGGCAGCAUUGGGGAAUUUUGGACAAUGGGGCAACCCUGAUCCAGCCAUCCCGCGUGUGCGAUGAAGGCCUUCGGGUUGUAAAGCACUUUUGGCAGGAAAGAAAUCGCAUGGGUUAAUACCCUGUGUGGAUGACGGUACCUGCAGAAUAAGCACCGGCUAACUACGUGCCAGCCGCCGCCGUAA
rnacentral:rRNA from 1 species